UGUGCGCGUGAACUGCAGAGUGAAAGUCUACUCGCCCUUGUGAACGCGCACACAAGAGUGCGCGUGCCAGGGUUCUUACGCAUGCGUGUAUUUGGGAACGCGCAUAGUCUGACAAAAGUUGGUGGUAAAACUCGGUCGCAAGAUUAAUGGGUUUCUUUUGAGCAUCACGGCUGGUGGAUCUUAUAUGGUGAGUUUUUUUAUGUGGUGUGGCUCACAAUCCAAUUUGAGUCGGAAAAAUACGUCGAAGAAAGUAGGCGGCGAGCAUUUUCUAUUUCAUAGCUUAUAGGCUAUAAAUACAUAUAGGCCUAUAUAAAAUAUAAUUUUUUUAAAAAAGAAUUAUCAGUUAGCGAGCAUGUGGACAAACUGUUCACAAAAUGCGCAAAUAAACUAGCCCGUCCCUGAGAAUGAGGCGUUCCUCUUCGACUUUUCUCGAUCAAUCACGCGGACAGUGGCUCCUUUUGAUUAAACCCCAAAUUGUCAUUGGACAGAGGUAAUCAUGUGACAAGCAAUACGGUCCAAUUUCAACCUUGUCUCCAUGAAAGCAGUUUAAUGGUAUCGCGGUCCCCAUACGGCCGUAAUCAGCAAAAUAGUGAUUUUUUUUUACACCGGGCACAAUAUUUCAUUAUUUCUUCGUAGGUCCCAAAUCUGUGCGCGGGGAAUUCCUUUAAGACUCGGAGGAGAUGAAUUACGAAUUCGAGCGAGAGACGGGCUUUAUCAAUAGUCAGCCGUCGCUCGCUGAGUGCCUGACAUCUUUUCCCCCUGUCGCUGAUGCAUUUCAAAGUUCAUCAAUCAAGAGCUCGACGCUUUCACGCUCGACACUGAUUCCUCCUCCUUUCGAGCAGACCAUUCCCAGGCUGAACCCGGGCAGCCACCCUCGCCACAGCCGACCCAAGCAGAACCCGAACGGCGUGUGCCCGCUGCCCGCCGCCUCGUUACCCCCGGAGUACCCGUGGAUGAAGGAGAAAAAAGCUUCAAAGAAAAACCAGACUUCAGCUGCAGCCACAACCGACCCUGCACCACUCUACUUCUCUCCUGAAGGUUCGCCGGAGGUUUCUGACGGUGGCGGAGGUGGCGGCGGCACACGCAGACUGAGGACGGCCUACACCAACACACAGCUCCUGGAGCUCGAGAAGGAGUUCCACUUCAACAAGUACCUGUGCCGACCACGCAGGGUGGAGAUCGCCGCGUUGCUGGACCUCACGGAGAGGCAAGUAAAAGUGUGGUUUCAGAACCGGCGCAUGAAGCAUAAGCGCCAGACGCAGUGCAAGGAGAACCAGAACGGCGAGACGAGAGCUGUGAGCCUGGAGGAAAACACCGCUCAUGGCAAGGUUUUUUACGAACAAUCGGGAACGAACUCCGUUUCCGGGGCUCUCUUGGAGAACGAGAGUUACGCGUUCCAGCAGAACACUACGCAGAAUGGACACAAUGGAGAGUCGGCGAGCUCUACUGUUUCGCCCCUGAACAGUAAUGACAAAAAUCUGAAACAUUUUCCCAACCAGUCACCCACUGUUCCCGUGUGCGCCUCUACAAUGGCUGUGGACGGCGCAGCUGCUCGGGACAAUAGCACUCCUCCAGGCCUGGACGGCCCCAUGCACGACUUUCACGUUUUCUCCACAGAUUCCUGCCUGCAUCUCUCAGAUGCCAUCUCUCCGAGUGUGUCUGAGACGGUGGACAGCCCCAUGGGUUUAGUCACGGACUCAUUUGAUUUCUUCUCGGAGACGCUCACGACGAUCGACUUACAACACUUGAACUACUAACAGUUUUUGAGCACAAGGAAGCCCCGUUAUCUUUCUCUACGUUGACGGAUGGGGCAACAAUUUCCUGGUAUGCAGCAAAAUUCAUGGUACAACUAAUCCUCCCAAGAGUUCCUGGACCACGAGCCACACAGCAGAGCCUACACAUCAAUGAUCCACCACCAUAUUUCACAGUGAGUUUGGGGGAUUUUCCUUGUAUGUGGCCAUCUUUUUGUCUUCAAACAUUCUGAUGGUGUGCCUCACCAAAUGUUUGAUUUAUAUCUCAUCUGACCAGAACACAAUUUAAAUAAAAACAAUUUAUUAAGCUUGGUGAGGUUGAAUUUUGUGGUUUCAUUUCUGCAAACAUUUCCAAUGUUAGAACUUAACACUACAAAAAUAAACAAAUAAAUAAAUAAAGUGUGCAAUUUUGAAACUGAAACUCUUCUUCCCCUCCCUGCUAGGCUCAUGGGUCAAAUGGGCCAAUUCCUGACAAAUGUCCAACUGUUCUGGACUAAUUAUCUUUCUAUUAUAGCACAGGUCAUUCCUAAUGAUAUUUUAACUUCUUGUGUUUUUUUUCAUCCAUUAACUUAAUAUCCACUAUGUUUUAAAAAUAUAAGUCAGAGGUAUCUUUUGUUUCAAUUUUAUUGUUUGUUCUCCAUAGUGUUGCAUAACAAAUGGAUUUUAUUUGUGUGUGACCUCAUAUUUAUAUGUCAGGAAAACAAGAAAAUACAUGAUGGAUGACAACUGGUGAAUUGAAAUAGUUCUCAUAUAAAUUUUUGCACAUA